rnacentral:rRNA from 1 species
AUUGAACGCUGGCGGCAUGCCUUACACAUGCAAGUCGAACGGUAACAGGUCUUCGGAUGCUGACGAGUGGCGAACGGGUGAGUAAUACAUCGGAACGUGCCCGAUCGUGGGGGAUAACGAAGCGAAAGCUUUGCUAAUACCGCAUACGAUCUACGGAUGAAAGCAGGGGACCGCAAGGCCUUGCGCGAACGGAGCGGCCGAUGGCAGAUUAGGUAGUUGGUGGGAUAAAAGCUUACCAAGCCGACGAUCUGUAGCUGGUCUGAGAGGACGACCAGCCACACUGGGACUGAGACACGGCCCAGACUCCUACGGGAGGCAGCAGUGGGGAAUUUUGGACAAUGGGCGAAAGCCUGAUCCAGCCAUGCCGCGUGCAGGAUGAAGGCCUCCGGGUUGUAAACUGCUUUUGUACGGAACGAAAAGACUCUGGUUAAUACCUGGGGUCCAUGACGGUACCGUAAGGAUAAGCACCGGCUAACUACGUGCCAGCAGCCGCAGUAA